CGUGGAAGCAGACCCCGUUCCAAGCCGCGGUGUCUGUGGAGUUCUCUGGGGGUUGCACAUCAACCACAACUUGGAUAGGCGUCAAGCCGAAAGAAAAUGU
rnacentral:sRNA from 1 species